rnacentral:misc_RNA from 1 species
GCAAACUUGGUCAUUUAGAGGAAGUAAAAGUCGUAACAAGGUUUCCGUAGGUGAACCUGCGGAAGGAUCAUUAUUGAAUGUGCUUGAUGGGUUUGUAGCUGGCCCUUCGGGGCAUGUGCACGGCCUGUCUUGACUCUAUUCAUCCACCUGUGCACCUUUUGUAGUCUUUUUGAAGGAUGAUAAGUGACUCCUCUGGGUGGAGUUCCGAAUCCUCCAACAAGGGACUAUGUCUUUUAUCACAAACCAUGUAGUAUGUUGCCAGAAUGUAGUCAAUGGGCUUGAAUGCCUAUAAAAUCUUAUACAACUUUCAGCAACGGAUCUCUUGGCUCUCGCAUCGAUGAAGAACGCAGC